rnacentral:rRNA from 1 species
UACAGAAGGUCUCAAGCGUUUGUUCGGAUUUCAUUGGGCGUAAAGGGCGCGUAGGCUGCAAGGAUAAGUCGGGUGUUGAAAAUCUUCAGGGGCUCAACCCUGAAACUGUCACUCGAUACUGCUCUGCUUGAGGACUGGAGAGGAGACUGGAAUUCACGGUGUAGCAGUGAAAUGCGUAGAUAUCGUGAGGAAGACCAGUGGCGAAGGCGGGUCUCUGGACAGUUCCUGACGCUGAGGCGCGAAGGCCAGGGGAGCAAACGGG